CAGGGGGCUUGGAAUACACAUCCUUCACCAGAAGCCCUAGGGCACAGAAUGAUAAAGUCACUAAUUAAAGCAUCACAACAAGAGAUGGGAGCAGAGAAGCAUCCGCCCCAUCAUGUAAGCCACUUGUCAGCUUUGGCUACCGUCAGAGGACCUUGGCUCUUUGGGGUCCCUGAAUCCCAAGAAAAUGAAGCAAAUUCAGGUUUUAAUCAGAAUUCAUCCUUUGACUUUGGAGAACACGAACUUGUGUUUUGGAUAUCUGCAAGAAACUAGAGAAGCUGUAUGGGGACUGAGAAAAGUGCUCUCAGGAAGAAAAACAGCCAUGGUGAAAAUCAGAGGCAUGCGUCCAAUUCAAAGUCAGUGGCAUUACGACUCCAGAAGCAGGUCGUUUUUGGUAACAUGGAAGGCUCGAUGUCUGGGUCAGCUCUCCAAUCAAAAUGAGCAAGUAUUUCUGAUAACAUAUGUCGAUUAAAUUGUACAAAAUACAUCAAUGAGCUGACAGUAAAGUAAGAAACACUCACCCUGUCUAAGCACAUGAGCCUAAAGAAAGGAAAUGAGAAAUUGAGCAGACAAGCCCAGACCUGUCCGGGAUGGGGAGUUUAAUCGUGAAUACCAGCCCUCUCUCCAGCCUGUCAGCAUGUAAGAAACUAUCCCGGAAAUACCCUGCCCUACAUCCCAAUUUAGGUUGCCAUCACUGGUACAAAUCUAAAAGACAUCUGAAGGGAAGAGUAUUCUAGCCAGACGGAGUCAAACAUCGAAGACACCGAACCAAGCCCGUGUACAGGAUCCAUGAUCCUGUCCCGAUCACUGCCUGCCUCUGUCGGGAGGACAAGCAGAGGUUGGGGACAGAAAGGCUAAAUUAGUGGUAAAAGAUUAAAAAGGCUGCUGUGCCAUACAUCUAAGUCUUAUCCGUCAACAAACUUGCAAUAAAGC
rnacentral:lncRNA from 1 species